rnacentral:rRNA from 1 species
CCUACGGGUGGCUGCAGUGGGGAAUAUUGGACAAUGGGGGGAACCCUGAUCCAGCCAUGCCGCGUGUGUGAAGAAGGCCCUCGGGUUGUAAAGCACUUUCAGUGAGGAAGAACGCCUGGUGUGUAAUACCCACCAGGAAAGACAUCACUCACAGAAGAAGCACCGGCUAACUCCGUGCCAGCAGCCGCGGUAAUACGGAGGGUGCGAGCGUUAAUCGGAAUUACUGGGCGUAAAGCGCGCGUAGGUGGCUUGAUAAGCCGGUUGUGAAAGCCCCGGGCUCAACCUGGGAACGGCAUCCGGAACUGUCAAGCUAGAGUGCAGGAGAGGAAGGUAGAAUUCCCGGUGUAGCGGUGAAAUGCGUAGAGAUCGGGAGGAAUACCAGUGGCGAAGGCGGCCUUCUGGACUGACACUGACACUGAGGUGCGAAAGCGUGGGUAGCAAACAGGAUUAGAUACCCUUGUAGUC